GUUUAUUUUGCUGUGGUUGCUAACAUUAAAAACUGACAAAAUAAUCUCCCCUACCAGGCAACACGACUCACACUGACAAUGGAGGAACCACAGCCACAAAGGUUUUCUGGGCACAGAAAGGAGGAAAAGAGGACUCCCCCCUUCUAUCAGACCCCCUACUUCGUGCGGUCUGAUGACAGGGAUGAUUUGAUGAUGGUUGAUGCAGUGGAGCACAACCCCCCAGUCAGCAGACGAAGCAUCGUCCUCUACUACACUUUACUCUUUCUAAAAGUGGUGCUGUGGAUAAUCUUUGCUUGGAUCUUGUCACACCUCCACAUGGGAGCUCCAUGUUUUCUCCUGCUUCUGACCUCCUGGUUGUAUUCAGGGCCGAUGUACAAAGCUCUGAAGUGGGCUAAGAGGCGUCUGCGGGGGCCGGUCGCAUAAAC